ensembl:lncRNA
GUCUCUUCAACUGCAGUGAAUUUCUUGCACUCUAGGGACUGAGUAUAUAAUAUCCUGCAGGGCAACUGCUCUCAGCCUAGUGUUUGACUCUUCAAAGUUGUUUAGUUAUAUUUUGCUUCCAUGAGCCCCCUAGUUACCUGAACCUUAGCUCUCUUCACAUAGUAUAUCUUACCUUUUAUCACACUGCAUUGAAACUUUUUGCUUAAUUUUUUGUUCUCCUCACUGGACUGUAAGUUUAGGGGAGCAGGAACAGCCAACAAAUACCUUAUAAAUGAUAUCUGGUGUUAAAUGCAUACUUGUAGAAUAAAUUAGUAGAUACUUGCUAAUUAUAACUCUAAUUCCCUAUGGCAUUACAAAAGCACACCAGAUAAGGAAGAAAACAAGACUGUUGUUAUAGAGAUGUGAGUAGGGAGAAAUAAGUGCCUUUUCUAUUGACUUGACCCAAAGGAAAGUGCCAUAAAUGUAUAAACCUGCACAAAAUGUGGUUGUUUGGAGUUAUUGCUUACUAUUUUGCCUAGGAAUGAACUGGAGUAAACUUGCUUAUUUCUGUUCUUAUUCUUCAGUGUUCUACACACUUCAAAUCCUUAUUCAUUUUCCACAAGGUUAAAAGAGUUAUUUGGAAUUAUACAGAAUGUUCUUCCAUUGCUAUGAAAGGAAUGUGUGUUGGCAACUCUCACUCCUAGCAUUUAUCAAAGUUUAUAUGUACUUCACUCAAUGUAAACAAAAUGCUCCAGAUUCACAUUUCUGACAAACCUUGUUUAUCAUUAAUAGUUUCACUAGUUAAAUGGUACAGAACUGUACAUGCUUUAAAACUAUAUUAGUUGUUUAAAAGUGUCAAGAAAGGUAAAGUUUGUGCAGUUUGCCACCUGCUAAUGCCUGUAAAAUCAUUCCUGCCAGAGAUACCGAAUGGUUUUCCAUUAUAUUAACAUUGCAUGAAUAAAAACCUAAGUCUUUUAAAUCACAAGUUUCAUAAGGUGUUGAUUGGCCUGGAGCAGAAUAAAUUCCGACAAAUAUUUAUGGUGCCAAGAAUUGUGUACAUAAAUAUUCCUCCUUGAAAAUGUUUCCAAUGUACUGUUAAACUGCCAAGGUGAUAUAAUUUAACAGGUAAAGCAGUGAACAGAGAGCAAAAGGUCACUGAAUUUGAAUUCCUUCUCCAUUCCCACUUUAAUGUGUGAACCUGAACCACUUGAACCUUUCCAAAAGUCAAAUUCUUAUUUUGUGAAAUGGGAGGAAAUUGACCAUUAAGGCACAGGGCAGGGCCCAUGGUCAUAGAAACUUUGGAAAUCUAAGUUAUUAUUAGGAUGUAGAAAUUUAUAACAUUGCAGUGUUAGUCCAUGGGGGCUUCUUUAACAAAAUACCAUAAUGAGGUGGCUUUUAAACAACAGGUAAUUGCUUCUCAUGGGCUGGAGGCAGAGAAUUCCCAGAUCAAGGGGCUGGCAGAUUCAACUUCUGGUGAGGGUGGGCUUUCUGAUUUAUAGAAAAUGCUUUUUAGCUGUGUCCUCACUGGUUCGAGUGGUGGGGGUCUCUCACCUGGCUUUCAAGGGCACUAAUCCCAACUACAGGGGCUCCAUUUUCAAGACCUAGUCAUCUCCCAAGGGCCCCACUUCUCAUUGCCUUUCCCUUGGGAGUGAGGAAACACAUUCGGACCAAGGAAAUGUCCAUUUACAAGGAACUUGGUUUGCAUUUAUUGUUAGUCUUCAGAAUACAUUUGCAAAUUAACUUGUAAUAAUACCUAUUACCAUUCCUUGACUGUUUACUGUUAUUCAGACAUUAUUUUAAGUCCUCUGUUAUCCCAUUUACUCUUUGUAACAAACCUUCAAAGCACAUCUUGUUUUUCCCAUAUUAACAGGAUUAAUAUUAGAGCAUGUGGCAAGCUCAAGAUUUCCCACCUUGAAGAUAGCAGAGCCAGGAUUCAAACCUAUAAGAUUCUGAAACCAGAAGUCUGGGUUUAUACUCACCUUGUCCCUAUGCUUUGCAAAUGAAGGACCAGAGGCUUAAAAAUUUCAACCUGUUUGUUUGCUGAUGCUCACACCCUAAUGUGUUGGCCUGGAAUGAAAGCCUGGGGGUGUUUGACGAAGGAGCCUUAGCUAUUUCUGAUUGUUUCUCUAGUAAUCUUUCUGUUCUUGGUAUCUUUUGUACCAUUUUUCUCUCCUGAAUUACCAGGAUAACUGGAGUCAGUGUUCAGCUGAAUUCGUUGACCUCCAUAAUCUUGAAAGCUCAAUCUUGCUAAUGAAUUCUACUUGAGGGCAUAUGAAGGUGGAUUAUAUAUCAAAGGUGGAAGCAGUUGCAGUUAAAUCUUUAGGAAUUCACUUCCCAUAAUGCUUAAAUGAGGGAUUUGUGUGGUAGUCUGUGGCUUUUCACCUCCUUUCUAGUUUAGCCUGAGUGCAGUGAAUGGUUGUAUUUCAUCUAUUGAGUCUCUGGAGCCUUGUUUGUGUUCAGAACGAUACCAUGUUAUUCCUGAAAUGAAGUUGGAUUAAGUUCUCUGAUUUUAAGACUUGGUCAAACUGUCCAUACUAUGUUAUUAUUUAUUAAAGUGGCAAAUACUUUAUUUCCUUAACAAGAUAAAUUCCUUUAAAGGAAUUAAGCAUAGUGGCCAGAUGAUUUACCCGAAUUGUUUAUUACAUCUUUGUUCAUCAGACAGAAAGAAAUUGUGAGAUGGUGCCCGGAGCUCAGCAAUGUAGGCAGAUUGACUUACAAUCUUGCACUUACUUUCUCCAGAGAAAGCUGCCCAAGGAGUCCUGUCAUUUUGCUAAAAUCAUUCAAGAGACCAUGCAGUGUGACAUUCUUUAAGAGCAUAAAACAAUUAACCAGUGUGCGACAGGUAGCUGUAACCAUUCGGUACCUUAAUUAGUGAUAUAACGAUAGCUUCAGAGAGUCCAGGACUUCAGCAUAAACGGAUUUCUUCCCAGUCUCACUCUAGCUGCAUACCACUUUCUUAAGAUAGAGUAUUAUGAUUGUUUCUAACUUAGUAGAAUUUAUUCUAAGCGUGAGUCCAUGUGGAAAGAGAAGAACUGAAAAUUUCUUUAGGAUUGAUUUACAUUUGCCAAGAAAGUUCAAUGCAGGCUUCAGCUGCUGUUAAUCUCUGUUCCUGCCAUACGCGCCACAACAUUAGCACCUUUCACUUGGUCCCUUUGCACCUUUAGUAAGCAGAAUAAUAGCUCUUUAAAGAUAGGAAUGCUCCAUUCUUUGUAACCUGUGACUAUGGCAAUUUACACGACACAAGGGACUUUGGAGAUGUGAUUAAGGAUAUAGGUCUUGAGAUCCUGAUUUUCUUUGUGGGCCCAGUUUCAACACCGAUUCCUUCAAAGUAGAGAACAUUUUAUGGCUGUAAUCAGAGAGAUAUAAUCAAGAGAUGUGAUGGCUAAACCAAUUAUUGCAGGCUUUUAAGACAAAGGUGCCACAAACCUUUGGCCUCUAAAAGUGAGAAAAGGCAAAAGAACAGAUUUCUUCCCCUCCAGCCUACAGAAAGGAAUGCAGCCCUUUUAAACCUGGUGCAGUCUGUGUUGGAUUUAGGAUUACAGAACUAUGAUAUAAUAAACUUUUUUUUUUUUUUUUGUACCAGAGAUCGAACUCGGGUCCUUGGCUUUCGAGGCAGGCGGCGGAACCAUUGAGCUAAAUCCCUGGCGAUAUAAUAAACUUUUAUCCUACAAAGGUUGUUGGCCAUCUUCCACAAAGAUGGCUUAGGUGUGGCUGCAUGGUGGGAGAGUUCUCAGUGCAAUAGUGGAAGCUGCAAGGGCAACAAAGGAAUCAGAAUUGAAGGCGGAGGGGAAGGGAAGGUGAUAGGUGGACAGACCACAGCACGCUCACCUCUGUGAUGGCCUGAAGCUGCAGCCGCUGCGCUGCUCUCCUGGGCCUGCGACACUCCAAAGGGACCCUGGGUGGAGCUGUGACGCGGGCCCACUUGUGGAGUGAGAACUUGCGAUAUUACAGAUAAAAUCUGAGGAUUCUCAACCCUGAUGUUGGAAAGCGUCCGACCCCCAUGGACAAUGGAAUAAGCACAAUGCAAGGGACCCAGAAAAUGAGUACCACGAGGAGGAGGCCAUAUGUAAACCAGGAAGAGGACCCUCAGCAGAACCUGGCCAUGCUGACUAUGUAAUGGCAGUCAGAACUGACUAGUAUCCAAAGUUUCACCGAAGUACCUCAUGCGAUGUUGCUACAUCUGUUCUUAACUUAAUGGCAGUCCCCAGAGAGCUAAAGGGUUGCUAGGGAAAGCAAGACUACACAACAGCCUUGACUACAGAGACAGCAUCUGGGUAUGCGUGGAAGAUGGAACGAACCUGCUUCAGACUACCUGGGACACUGCUGUGACUCACAUAUGUCAUAUUAAAACUCAUUAUCUGUACCUGUUUUCCUGAUGCCAACAAUAAUCAUCAUCUUCAAAACAAAGACAGUUUUUUUUUUAAUUAAAAAAUGACUUCAGCACAUCACUUAAA